rnacentral:rRNA from 1 species
AUUGAACGCUGGCGGCAGGCCUAACACAUGCAAGUCGAGCGGAUGAAGGGAGCUUGCUCCUGGAUUCAGCGGCGGACGGGUGAGUAAUGCCUAGGAAUCUGCCUGGUAGUGGGGGAUAACGUCCGGAAACGGGCGCUAAUACCGCAUACGUCCUCAGGGAGAAAGUGGGGGAUCUUCGGACCUCACGCUAUCAGAUGAGCCUAGGUCGGAUUAGCUAGUUGGUGGGGUAAAGGCCUACCAAGGCGACGAUCCGUAACUGGUCUGAGAGGAUGAUCAGUCACACUGGAACUGAGACACGGUCCAGACUCCUACGGGAGGCAGCAGUGGGGAAUAUUGGGCAAUGGGCGAAAGCCUGAUCCAGCCAUGCCGCGUGUGUGAAGAAGGUCUUCGGAUUGUAAAGCACUUUAAGUUGGGAGGAAGGGCAGUAAGUUAAUACCUUGCUGUUUUGACGUUACCAACAGAAUAAGCACCGGCUAACUUCGUG